GAUGAGGAGGUCGGCGCGGCUGUUCUGCCGGCAGGCCGCGGAGAGGGCUCGCGGCGAGGGCUCCAGCUUCCCCCGCCGCCGCCUCGCGUGCACGGAGCGCUUCAGAGGUUUGGAGGGGGCCAGAACCUCAAAAGCAACUGGAUUAGCACAAUGCGGACGCGCCGGAGAAGCGGCGCAAGCGGGCCCAAUAUGGUUGCUGAUCAGACGAGUGGCAUCUCUCGCCCCCCUACCGCGGGAAUUGGGACCUCCAGACUGUGCCUGGGGGAUCGGCAAGUGGUUCCCCUCUGUUUUUUUCGGCGCUGCCUUCCCGGUGGUAUCCUCACUCUCUCUCUUUGAAAUGACCUCUGCUUUCCUAUCUCUAACUCUUCCCAGAUGUUUGAAAGCAAAAGUUUUUGUACAAAGCAACAUAUGAAUGUAUUCAGCCAUUCGAUCGUUCGGCGAACAUUUCUAGGGGUCUCGUGCUGUGCCAGAUAUUGUUCUGAGUGUGCUGAAGAUGCACCUGUUAGCAAGACAAAGUCCUGGCUCCCACGGAGCUUAUUCGAAGCAAUAGGGACCCCCAAGCAGGUGCCUGAGAAGUAGGGAGGGGUGGACAGUGGGAAAACAACCUAACGGUGGAGACACACGAGGGGUCUUUUUUUACUUUUAGAAACGGGGGUGGGUGGUCUCCCUAUGUUGCCCAGGCUAGUCGCGAACUCCUGGGCCCAAGCGAUCCUCCCGACUCAGCCUCCCAAAGUGCUGGUAUUACAGGCCACCAUGCCUGGCAGAGGGGUCGUUUUUGUUGUUUUUUUAGUGUCAGGAGACUCCCUCCAUCAGAAUUACUCAGGCUGAUUGUUUUGAGUCCUGGGACCCAGUUGGUAUCCAGAAUCUUGGCUUGUUUGCCUAGGAACCUGCAUUUUCACAUCCCCAUCUCCACACCCCUGGUGAUUCUUAUGCACAUAAUAACGUGAAAAGCAUUGCAUUGGAGAAUUGCUAAAGGGUGUCAGAAAACGGAUUAACAAAAUCAGGAAGCUUUAAUUUUCAAGAUUCUAUUAACCUCAAAAUUCAACAUAUCCAAAAAUUGAAUGUCUUUUUCUCCAGUGUUUUCUAGGGGAGUGCCAACACCAGCCACCCAAGUGCUCAAGCCAGAAACCUGGAAAUGAUCCAUUGCUCCUUCCUCUCUCUCUGGAGUCCCCAUGUUAAAUUAGAUGUGUUUGUUUGUGAGACAGAUUCUCAGUCUGUUACCUAGGCUGGAGGGCAGUGGUGCAAUCAUUGUUCACUGCAGCCUCAACCUCUCUGGGCUCAAGGAUCCUCCCACCUCAGCCUCCCCAGUAGCUGGGACUACAGGUGCCCACCACCACGCCCGGCUAAUUUUUGCAUUUUUAGUAGAGAUGAGGUUUCGUCUUGUUGGCCCGGGCUGAUCUCAAACUCCUAGGCUCAAGUGAUCUGCCUACCUUAACCUCCCAAAGUGCUGGGAUUACAGCCGUGAGCCACUGCACCCAGCCCCAAUUAGAUUUUUAAAACUGUUGUUCCCUGUCAGUUCUUACUCUAAUUCAAUCUACUGUCAUCUCUCCUAGAGACACUACAGUAGACUCCUCUUGGUCUCCCUGCCACCGAAAUUGCCCUCUCCAAAUCCACUACAGCUUGAAUGGUCUUUCAAGAAAGAAAAUCAUGUCGUUUCCCUGUUUAAGACUCUUAAAAAGAUCCGAUUAACAUGUAGGUUAAAGUCUAAAAUUCUUUGAGGUGGCUACAGGGCCACUGGUGAUCUCAUCCAUGUUGCCAUCUCUGACCUCAUCUGCCACAGACAUUUCUCAGGCUACACUCAAAACUGGGAAGCUCAGGUCAUUUAAGCCUGGAAGUUGUGCCACCUCACAACUGUUGCAAGGGCUGUUCCCUUUGCCCAUAACUUCAUUUCUGUCUACUCCAUCUAUGCACUUACUUGAAUCCUCACCUGAAUAAUUCCUACUAUUCUUUCAGAUCCCAACAUUAAUACCAUCGCUUCCAGGCAGCAUUUUUUCAUCUCCCAAGAUUGGGUGCAUUAGACCCUUUGUCAUCACACCCAGUACUUACUCCCCACGUUUAUUGAGCGCUCACGAUGCGUCAGGCCCUAGUGUAAGCCUUUAUGCACAUUAUCUUCUUUCUCAUUUAAUUAUCAAGUAGAGCCCACAAGGUAGAUACUACCUUUUUUUUUUUUUUUUUUAACUUUUGAGACAGGGUCUCACGGUGUCUCCCAGACUGGAGUACAGUCGCAGAAACACAGCACACUGCAGUCUCAACCUCCUGGGCUCAAGCGAUCCUCCCAUCUCAGCCUCCUGAGUAGCUGGAACCACAGGCAGAUGCCUGUUGCCCAGGCUGGUCUCGAACUCCUGGGCUCAAGCCGUUCUCCUGCCUUAGCCUCCUAAAGUGCAGGGAUUACAGGUGUGCAACUGUGCCCGGCCUGGGUAGGUACUAAUAUUAUCCCAUUUUACAGAUGAAGAAACAAGGACAUGUAGGGAUUACUUGCCUAAACCCAGACAAUAAGCUAGAUCUGAAAGUCAUCAGCCUGACCUCAGAGUUGUACUUUUAACCCUUAUCAGGGUCUCAGGCCAGUACCCACUGAUGAAACACAUAAGUAACUUAGUGGGUCAUGACCAACAUUUCAUUAAAGAAAUAGAAAAUGGCAGAGAACAUCAAACUUAGUAAGGCUCUUGUUUUGUGAAACUUGUCAGAUUCUCUAAUAUGAUAAAUACUAAAUCUUACAAACAUUGAAAAUACAAAAUUAAACAAAAUAUUACCAAGGUUAACACAAAAGUAUGAACACUGCAGAUCUGAUUUAUUUUACCAUCCUCAUCUUUAAUGCUGAACCUUCUUAGGAUUAAAUGACAUUUACCAUCCCGAGCAAAUUGAGGUUACUGCCCCAAAUGGACUGGGCUUACCUUUGCAGGAGAACAGGGUUUUGUUUGGAACUGUGUUUUGGCCGGAGAUUUUUGGCUAAAAGUCAAGACACAGAGAUUCUUCUGCUACCACUAUGAACACAUCGAGUCCCUUUCACAUAGAUGCUAUUUCCACAGGGGUCUCCCCACACCCUACCCUACAGAUUAGAUUCCUGUGAUGCCUUAUUUAAUUCUUGUUGGAUCUAUUGAUUUGGUUAUGAAAUAGGUGAAAUUCUGGUAACCUCACCCAGGUUCCUUCCCCUCUUGAGUAGAUCCAGCCGAUCUAUUCACUGGAUGAUUAAAUUUGGCAUUCCUUUUCUGUGCUUUCCCUAUCUGCUACUAUCCUAAAGUCAUUCUAAUGACCAAAAAAGGUGCCUUGAGCCAGACUGUAGAGGGUUCUAAUGGCCUCCUUAGAAAUUGUGUUUUUUUGUUUUUUUGUUUUGAGAUGAGGUUUCGUUGUUGUUGCCCGGGUUGGAGUCCAAUGGUGCGAUCUUGGCUCACUGCAACCUCCGCCUCCCGGGUUCAAGCGAUUCUCCUGCCUCAGCCUCUCAAAUAGCUGGGACUACAGGCAUGCGCCACCACGCCCACCUAGUUUUGUAUUUUUAGUAGAGACGGGGUUUCACCAUGUUGCCCAGGCUGGUCUCGAACCCCUGACCUCAGGUGAUCCACCCACCUCGGCCUCCCAAAGUGCUGGGAUUACAGGCCUGAGCCACCACGCCUGCCAAGGAGUUGGUUCUUAGUAGGCAAUAGACAGUUGACAAUUUUGAGCUAAGCACUGAGGUCAUAGCAGUGUAGAUUCACCAGGGAGUGAGUUGAGCUUCUGGUCUCUAGAGGGCGCUCAAGGCUUCUCCCUCCCUACCCUCUUCCUUCCCCCAAGGGGGAGGUAGGAUGGUGAAGAAAUUUCAUCUCCCCACCAAAAAACACACACAAAGGAAGAAAAUCUUACUAAAAUUGGAGAAUAUGGAAUAACAUUUUCUUGGGACGGAGCCCUUAAAAGAUAACACGUUCAACAAAAAGGUGCCGCGUCUUUCCCGUUCUUCAACAUACUCUGAGUGGUAACAAGGGCUGCCCUUGCCUUUCUCAGAGGCAGCCCAGCCAGCUUGCUCUCUUUCCCUCUCCCACAAGGUAGCCAGGCCCUAAGGCUAUGGCCCACAGAAAAAGUCUUAGCCAGGCCCCGGGCUUGGGGCAAAGAGGCUGUGGAUUUGUCUUUCUCUCUACUUUUUCUGGUUAGUGUGCCUCUAUCCCACUCAGAAGAAAAGUUCCAAGACUCGUAUUUGGGCAUUGAUGUGGGGAGGAUAGACAGAGAUGACCAGAAUCCAGCCUAUCUUUCCUGACUUCUGCAUUGUGGUUCAUACCCAGCUAAUAAUAAAGUGCUCCUUUCCCUGGUGUGUCAUUGCACAUGUACUCCCUACACUUCUGAUGAGUAGAGAUGGCUGGCCAAGACAGGAUUCAGACAUUCCCACAUCCCCAACCAAAUAUCCUCUCCAUACCAUCUUAUUAAUCAGUCCUUGAACAAUUUCCUAAACUCCCUAGCACGUUGGAGAUGGCUGGAAGAAAUGAAAAGAAGAAGACUAACACAGGCGAUAAAGAAAAAUUCAGCACUGCUUGAUAACUGAUGAGAUAGUGAAGGAAUAGGAGGGCAAAGGUCGGAAGUAAUUCCAGGUGUUCAAGAACUGAAUGCUGAAGAGAUGUUAGUGUCAUUGACGGUCUUCUAAUGGGAAGUGAAUUUCAAUAGAAAGAGGAUGUGUUUGGUUUCAGACAGAUCGAGUGACUGGUAACAACAGGAAAGCCACGUGUUUGGAGCAGAUUACUCUGUACAGUCAGCAGCUAGAAUGGAAGUGAAGAAGGCCCAGCAGAGCAUCAGACCUGUGUGCAAACUAUGGUGGUGUUGGUGGAAUAGAGGGAAGGGAGAGAUUUGAGAGACAUUGGGAAGAAAGGUUUUGGUUUUUGAGACAGAGUCUUGCCCUGUCAUCCAGGCUGGAGUGCAGUGGCAUAAUCUUGGCUUACAGCAACCUCCACCUCCCGGGUUCAAGGAAUUAUCAUGCCUCAGCCCCCUAAGUGGCUGGAAUUACAGGCGAGUGCCACCACAUUCAGCUAAUUUUUGUAUUUUUAGUAGAGACAGGGUUUCACCAUCUUGGCCAGGCUGGUCUCGAACUCCUGACCUCAGGUGAUCCACCUGCCUCGGCCUCCCAAAGUGCCAGGAUUACAGGUGUGAGCCACCAUGCCCAGCCACCAGAAGUUUAAUCAAGGCUCAGAGACUGAUUCCAGUUUGAGUUUUCUAGUAACUAUCUAAUACUUAGCUAAUAGCUUUGGACCGUUGCUCUUUUUAAAAUGAGAUCAUUCAAUCAUUGCAUUCAUCUUUGGGUAUGACUCACUAGUCAACAGAGUCCCCCUUCUGUAGAAACUGCCUCAUUCACAGAGAUGACCUCCACCAGUCAUGCCUGUAUUUGAGACCCUCUCUCUCUUUACCCCCCAUUGCUGAGUGAUUCAGGGGUGGUCACCUGACCCAGGCGAUGCCAAGUUUAUUCUCUGUCUUGGGAAUUUAGAAUGUUUGUUUGGCUAAGAGACACAGAAACUGGAAGCUGGAGCUGAUGAUGGAGCUGAUCACGCUAAUGAUGGAGCUAUGGAGAUAAGAUGCAUGAAUACCACUGAGGUCCCCAAGAUUGCCAUAUUCCUGCAGUGCCUUCUGGCCACAGAUGGUUGGUCCAGAAGCAGGUUCCUGACUCAACCUGGGCCAAUUAGAGCCUUUCAUGGAGAUUUUGAAAUUGAAGUUGAGAUCUCUCUUUCUCUCUCUCUGUGCCCUUUGGUGUAUGUGUACUUGGGCUACAAGUUACCCAACUUUGGAAGCUGUAGGCAGAGGCAAUUUUCCACUAAAUGAAGGGAGAAACAGAAAGUCCAUCAUUAGUGAGAGAGGAACAAGGCAGAUGCACACAGAGAAGCAGAUAGAGGAGAAGCGGGCAGGAGUGGGGCGGGAGUCCCCACAGUGCUCUAGUUUCUCAUUCUCUUCCUGAGACCCACAGGAUUCUUGCCUUUGGGUUUCUUAAGUUCCUGAAUAGCUCCUGAUUGCCUUUGCCUUUUUUACGAAAGUCCUUUGAGCAUGGUUUCAGGUGAGUAGACAGUCCUAAAGAGCUGUAACAAAUACACGUGGGCUGUGUGUGAGGUUCCGGGAGAGGCACCAGGGAUCCAUUGUGGGUCAGGCGUGGUGCCGCCCUCAAGGAACUUAAUGGGGAGAAAAUGAAGUCUGUACUUCAGUAACUACAGUGCAGGCUAGGAAGAGAACACCCUUAGAGAUGUGCAAAUCAAGCUCUUUGGGGGUUUAGAGGAGGCCUAGGACUGCUAAGGAAAGGCUGGGACUAGGGAGAAGUAAGCAAGUCACUAAGGAGGCAAAAUUUAAGAAGCCACACACUCUCAGGGUGUGUGAAUGCAGGGUUGGCACUUGCAUGACCCUGAGAAUGAGCAACCCCUUAAAUGUUGUAUCUUAGGCACCUUGCCAGACUCACUUUUAGCUUGCUGGACUAAUUGUGGGGAUCAGGAGGCCUUCAGAGGAAAGUUAGUGUCUGAGCUGAACUGAAGGAUGGGGUGGUUUUGGACUUGGUGGCAAUGUCAUAUACCUCAAGGUAAAGUAACAGCAUGGAAAACGCUCCCGUGAGAAUUCACAAGGUCUGCUCUAGGAUCAUCAGGCUCUUCGGUGUGACUUAAGAGUUCAGGGCAUGAAGGAGGAGGGGGCAGUAAGAAAAAUGGAGAGAACGUAGCAUCAGAUUCUGCAGGCGAGGAGAAAAUUGCUAAGCUGGGAAAUAACAUAAUCAGAGCGAUACUUAAGAUGAAUCUAACGGAAUAGCAUGAAAUAAAGGAAAGUCUAAGGAGAGGACAAACAAGAGGCUAUUGUGGCAAUUCAGGCGUGAAAGUCUAAACUAAUCGGCACUGGGAAUAGAGAUGCCAUAGGAAAAAUAAUACAUCAUUAAUAUAACUUGGCAAUUGAGUAAAUGUUGGACACAAAAGAGUAGAGAAAUCAGAAACACUGCUAAACACUAUGCAGCUAUAACAAAGAAUGAGAGAGCAUUCAAUAAGAUCACAUCCAAGAUAUGUACGUGAAAAACACAAGGGAUAGAACUGUGUAUAUGGCAAGCUAUCACUUGCAUUUUUUAUUUUUUAAAUGGUAUUUAUUUAUUGCUUGUUUUUUCCUUUUUUUUUAGACUAAAAAAUCAAUUAUAAAAUGCUCAA
rnacentral:lncRNA from 1 species